CCUGCACCCCUGCGCCCCGGGAGCCCCACUUGGCCUCCCUGGGGCAGUGCUCCCGAGCCUGGGCUUCCUCCCCCCACCCCCCGAUCCCCCACGCGGGCCGUCAGUGGCUCCCCGCGCCUGUCCCGCCGCUGGGACGUGGCCACUUUGGGCGUGGGGUGGGGUGGGCGUGGGGUGGGGAGCGCAGUAUAAAGGGUCGGAGGCGGCGCGGGCCGAGACCUCGACGUGGCGCGUCCCCUCUCCCGGCCUCCGCUCCAGUUCCAUCAAUAAACUGCCACCUCCGAGGAGGGCAGCAGGGAGGGGGCCGAAGAGAAUGUCACCUGGUGGAGCUGCGAUGCUGCUGUGGUCAGGGGUGACCUUCAAAAGAAACCUCGGUAUCUGUGACCUUUACAAUGCCCAGGAUUGUAUUAGUGCCAUAAAAAACCAUGGCUUAUGGGUAUUUACAUCUUAACUGGAUUUUCCUACAAACAAGCCGAGGCACAUUACAAUUCUCCACAAGUAUUCCUUUUUUCUACUGUUUUCCUUUUUUUAGAUCUAUGGCAUUUAAGAAUUCAAAAAACUGCUAGGUCCUCUGAUCAGCGCCAUUAGUCUUUUUUCUUAAAACGGCCAAACAUUGGUAAAACGACAUGCAGUUUUUAUGCCUCACUAA